rnacentral:rRNA from 1 species
AUACGUAAGGGGUAAGCGUUAUUCGGAUUUACUGGGCGUAAAGGGUGCGCAGGCGGUAGAUUAAGUUGAAUGUGAAAUCUGUGGGCUCAACCUGCAAACUGCAUCCAAAACUGGUCUACUUGAAUACUGGAGGGGAAACUGGAAUUCCUAAUGUAGGAGUGAAAUCUGUAGAGAUUAGGAGGAACACCAAUGGCGAAGGCAAGUUUCUGGCCAGAUAUUGACGCUGAGGCACGAAAGCGUGGGGAGCGAACAGGAUUAGAAACCCCAGUAGUCC